CUUGCACCAGUGGGGUCCCUCAGCCUGGCCUGUGCCUUCUCCCAAUCCAGGACCCCUCAGGGGAUGUCAGAGAGCCAGUUUGGGCCUGAUCCUGCAGGCCAGGCCGAGGGACCCCACUGGUGCAUG
rnacentral:pre_miRNA from 1 species